GAGAUAUAUUAGGGAUUCUCAACACUCCCCCUCAAGUUGGUGAAUAAAUAUCUUCCAUUCCCAACUUGCUUGUGAUGUUCUGAAAUUUUACUAUGGGUAGCUCUUUUGUUAGAACAUCAGCUAGUUGUUUCUCUGUUGGCAUAUAAGGAGUGCUAAUGAGACCAUUUUUGAGCUUUCCCUUUAUGAAAUGUUUGUCUACACACGUUUGCUUCGAUCAUGCUGAACUGGGUUAUGAGCCAUGCUAAUUGCUGAUUGAUUGUGACAAUAAAGCUUCAUAGUCCCCUCUCUCUUAAUCUUGAGAUCAUCAAGAAAAAUCUUCAGCCAUGAUAAUUCACAAAUCCCAUGAGCUGUUGCUCUAAA
rnacentral:misc_RNA from 1 species